AGGAGGAGAACCCGCAAUAGAGCACAUGGUUCUCUGCUGACGGAUGGAAAUCUUACAGGAGGGCAUCCAUGGGCUCUGAACUGUCUGCUGCCUUUCGUUUAGAAUCUGGCCUCAUAAAGGGAUUUGACAAGUUCUUAAACCUGACUCAAUGUCAUCCAGCCUCCAUAGUCAAAGAAUUCUGUCACAGGAAAGGAUCAAAAAAGCAGCCACCCUUCUUAGAUUGGUAAGAGAAGUCAGGUCACAGAGCUAAGCAUUGUUCCAAAGUUGGGAGAGACAGGCACAUAGAGAGAGAGAGAGUCGUAGUUUACUCAUGUGGAAACCCACUUACAGAAGUUGGGAAACCUAAACUGUGAUUGAUCCAUUCUAAGGGCUCAAUGUGGACAAGGCUAAGAGUUAAAAUCUCCAGGGAACCCAAUCAUAGAAUACCCUAGACUCUUGUAUCUUUUACUUCCUGAUGCUUGACCAGGUUUUCAAGAUAAAUGUCAGAGAAAAAUCCCUUGUGCUUGUGUUCUGGCAGGAGGACAGCUAAAGCAACCAUUUUAAAAUGCACCAGAGCAUCCUGUUCUUAAGAAGGUAUGCCCUCAGGAAAACUAUGCAACCACAGCCUACCCCUCUAGGGGGUUGGUUUUGUUCCAUUUUGUUUUUUGUUUUGCUUUCUCCCUCUCAGGUUUUGUCCAGCCAAAUCUACCCAGGGAAAGGGAAAUAGUCAACACCAGGCCCUGUAGCUACCCUGUCCUCUCUCUAAAUUCAGGGGAACAGGCUCAUCAAAAGACAGAGACCUAACUAUAGAACUAUAGAAUGCUUGCCCUCCCCACACAUUUUACUGUACUAAAGGCCCAUUUACCAAAAUUCCUUGUAAUUAAUGUCCAUUUUUCAAUGACAAAUUGUAUGGUAUACUAAAAGUUCUCUGCCUCUCUCUCUCUCUCUCUCAAACACACACACACACACACACACACACACACACACACACACACACAGCUUGAAAAGACCAAACAAGCAUCAGAACUAGAGUCAGAUAUGACAAGAAUGUAGGAAUUAUCUGACUGAGAAUUUAAAACAACUGUGAUUAAUAUGCUAAGGGCGCUAAUGGAAAAGUAAGCAACAUGCAAGGACACAUGUAAGCAAGUAGAAUGUGAGAUGGACAUUCUAAGAAAGAAUCCAAAAGAACUGAUAGAAAUCAAAAACAUUAUAAAAAAUGAUGAAUGACUUUGAAGGGCUCAUUAGCGGAUAGGGUACAGUUCGAUAUGUAUUUAUUUUUUAAAACAUCUAAGGUAAUCCUAGUAAUAAAUAAAAGGAAGGGGUAUGAUUUUGAAAAUUGACAUAGAUUUUUAAGAUGACAGACAAUUCACAGAAGAGGAAACAUUAAUGGCUAGAGUUUGCUCAACUCCACAAAUUCUCAUGGAAUACAAAUUAUAAUAGUGAGAUACCAUGUUUUUGCAAAACAGAUUGUCCUUAUCCAAGGUGAUAUACUAGUGACACAUAGAUAUCACUUUUUUAGAUGUUGUUUGGACCGCAAUUUGACAGCACCAAAAGUCCAUGCCUUUUGACCAGCAUUUUGACCUUGUUUCAUUUGUCUUAGUCAAUUUAUUCAGGUGUGCGCACAAAGCAGCAAAGAAUAUUUAUUACAACAAAAUUUAAAAUAGAAAAAAAUGGAAACAACUUAAAUGGCCAUCACUAAGGACACUGGCUAAAUUCUACGACGUCUGUGGAAUACAAUGUAGCAGUGAAAAAUAAUGAAGAUUUAUAGGGAAAAGACCAUAUGAAUGGACUUAUGAAAAGACCUCAAAGGGCGAGGGAUUUAGCUCAGUGGUUCUGCCACCUGCCUCGCAAGCAAGUGCAAGGUCCUGAGUUCAAUCUCCGGUACCAAAAAAAAAAGACCUCAAAGACAUAUUGUUAUUGAAAGUUGCAAGUUGCAGAAUACUAUAAAACACUACAAAAAAGCAUCAUAAAUGAACACACAGGACUACACAUUUCUCUAUGUAAGUGAGGUCAUGCAAAUGCAUAUAAGAAUAUCCAAAAAAAAAAAAAAUUAAAGAAAAUCGGAACAGAUUUAUACCCAACUGGUAAUAGCAAUACCUGAGGAAAAGGAAGUAAGUUGAUGAUGAGAGGAUUGUCUUAAUCCAUUUGUACUGCUAAAGAAAAAUAUCACAGACUGGGUAAUUUAGAAACAAUAGAAAAUGAUUUCUCAUACUUUUGGAGGCUAGGAAGUCCAAGAUCGAGCAGGUCAGCAGGUACAGUGUCUGGGGUGGGGCUGUUCCCUGCUUCUAAGAUGGCACCUUGAAUGCUGUGUCCUCCAAAAGGUACAAGUCUUGUGUCAUACUGCAUUCCCUUCAUCAUAUGGCAGAAGACUUGGAGAAGGGAAUAAACCCAUUCCCUCAAGCGCUUUUACAAGAGUCCCAAUCCCAUCCAUGAGGGACCUGUCUUGAUGACUUACCAAUCUCCUGCAGGGCCCAUCUCUUAAUACUAUCCCAGGGGUGACUAAGUUUUUUCUUUUGUUUUUUUUCCCCUGGUACCAGGGAUCCAACUCAGGACUUUGCGCUUGUGAAUCAGGUGAGGUGCCACUGAGCUAAAUCUCCAGCCCAACUGAGUUUUAACUUACAAUUUUGGGGAGAAACAUUCAGCCUAUAACAAGAAUCAAAGGGAUUUUUGUCUUUAUCUGUAUAGAAUUUUUUAUAAUAAGAAUGUAUUCAUGUGUACUUACACAACUAAAAAUGAUUUUUAAAAGAAUGGGAAAGGGGAACAAGACUAUUUGUCUUCCUGAGACGGACAAAUAAAUCGAUAGAACUGACUGAGGAAUUGUGUGUUGGGAGGGAUGGAAUUUUUCCCUGAAGAAAUGAGCACAGUACUCUCCCUUAUGCCUCUAUGUGCAAAAUCAGCUAACUCCUUGGUACUUAGGUCCCACAUAUUUCCAUUGGCUGUGCAGCUCCAGACCUGUCCCAAAGGAGUGUGGCAGCUCACUAGCUCUAUGCCUACUCGCUCAGAAUGUGGGAUGUACAAGCCUGGGGACAAUUAUUCUGGGUGCUAAGCACCCGGGAACCUCAGUGGAACAUGAUCAUCUAUAGUCAACAACUCAAUGUCAGAUCAUUUAUCUUGGCUUUGCUCUAGGGGGGGUUCAUUAUACAGAGAAUAUAAAGCACUUCAUUUUUAUACAGCUUAACAUUUAUGAGUCUACGGCAUCUACAGUUUUAAAAUAGAGACUCUGGAAUAGUUUGAACAUACUAAAUUAGCAUUUUUAACAAAUCAACCAAAGAGAAUUUGUGAGUGACAAGGAUAGUGAGAAUAUAGCAUCACUCAGGCUUAAGAAUUGAGAGACAGUAACACUGAGUCAGGCUGAACAAACAAACAAAAACAAAGCAGGCAACUGGGGAUAGGAAGCAAUCUGGAAAUAAGAAAUGUCUACACAUCAGGCUAAGUGUCAUUACCUCAGUAGAUUCACUUCGCUUCAUCGUUUAUCUUUUUGUUUUUCCAGAUGAGGGGUUAAAUGGGGGAAGUAUGAAUGAGCCCUUCAUCCUCAGAGAAUGUCUGGCUUAAAAUAUUAACCACAGAAACUUUUAUUUUCUUCUGAAACAAUAUUUUUCAUCUCAAUCCAGCUAACAUGAGCGUUUAAAAAAUAUUUUGCUGGCAAAGAUUACAAUCGCAGAUGCACUGGGCCAGGCAUCGCAUUCCCUUCAUCAUUAACUUGAUGAGUGGAGACUUCAUACAGAGGAUCGUAUGCAAGGACCAAGUGUACUGAAAAUGGCAUUAUUGUCUUGGCUCUUGGAAAAUUAUAAUGAGAAAAUAUGAUCAGAUAUUGAGUCCCAGAUCUCAUCACAACAAUUGGAUAAUUUUUUCUGUAUAUGUAAUGUGACUACUGUGACCUAUCAUUUGUAGGUUCUUGGUAGAUUAAAUAAGACACAAUUAAAAUUCUGUUGUUUCAGUUGUUGAAUCCAGGUCUCUCUCUCUCACACAUACAUGGGUGCACACGCACAUGUAUACAUAUUUAAUUGUAUGUUUCUAUAUGCUUGAAACUUUUCGCAGUAAAAAAGUGGAGAAAAACUAUUGCUUCCUUUAAAAUGUCUUUCAGAUUAAUCUUUACUGUCUUCUUCCUCAGACUUCACUAGCUGUGGCUGACAAUUCCCAGCAGGCUUCCCUGACUCCCUGGGAGGCUCAAGCUAUAUAGAGCAGCCAUUUGUCUCUUCUACAGCCAAUCAUGCUCCUCCCCCGCCAUGUCUUCCCAGGUUUCGCCACAAAAAGCCAAACCUCUCGGUUCAGCUUCCCUGGUUCUCAGUAUCCAGCCCCUCCCUCCGGUUUCAUCUUGGUCCUCCCUGACUGGUGGGCUCGCCUUCUCAACACUUUGUUUUCUCCUCUGCAUCUCUGCUCUGGGAAUCCCUACCAGGAGUGUUCUUCCCUGUGGCCUUUACUUGUUUAAAUUGGACCUAUUCAAGGCACACCCUAAAUCUUGCUUCUUUCAUUCAUUCUCUGUCCUCAACAUCUGAAGUUUGAACCACAAUCAUCAAACCUCCUGCCACUUAGACACAAACAGAAUAUCUACAUUAGUAACCAGCAACAACAAUAACAACAAAACAAUAACAAACACUCCUCAAUGAUUCUCUCUCAGCUACUUAAGAACCAGGCAAAGCCAGGCAUAAUGACACACAUCUAUGAUCCCAGCACUCUGGGAGGCUGAGACAGAAGGAUCAUACUUUCUAGUCCAGCCUGGGCAACUCAGGAACUAAAAACGUCCUGCCUCAAAACACAUUUUUUUUUGUUUAAAAAAGGGCUGAGGAUAAGGAUGAGGAAGGAGGAAUGGGUGUUUAUUCUGAGUACAACAGAGACAUUAAACUUACUGUAUCCAGGCUAAAAAAAGGCUGAGGAUGUAUCUCAGUGCAAAGUCCUUGAAUUCAAUCCCCAGUACUGAGAGAAAGAAAGAAAACCAAGACAAAAGAAAAAAGAAGGAACAAGCAUCAACUGACAGAUGUUGGGAUCGAACUCAGGACCUUGCGCUUCCGAGGCAGGCAGCAGAGCCAUUGAGCUAAAUCCCCGGCUGUGCAGUCAGGCAGGCUCUAUUGUAUGGGUGACAUCUGGAAAGCCCUGAAGAAGGGGUCGAACUUGGAACCUUGUGCUUGCGAGGCAGGCAGCAGCACCACUGAGCUAAAUCCCCAGCCCUGACUUUUUUUCUACGAGCAAUGGAUAGCCACUGAAGCACUUCAAGAAAAAGGACUAACUCUAAUGAGUAUUGGAGAAAGAUUGCUUUGGUAUGUUUUGGGAGGAUGGCUAUUGAUGACAGAGGAUUGGCAGCUGGAGACAAUGCUGACAGAGCAUACAGCACCUGGGAAGAAACAAUUACAGACUGAAAGACAAGAGGUAAUGGAGAUACAAAGGAGGAGACAGAUUUAAUGAGACUAACCUGUGAUCAAAUCAACAGAGCUUAGCAACUGAUCAGACCUGGAGAGUGAGGAAGGGGAAUGAAUAAAAUAUAACUCUGCAUUUCUAGCCUGAAUAAUUAAGUGCAGAGCAACAACUUUGACUAGACAGGGGAUACAGGAAGAAGAGGAAGAUCUGGGUUUGUUUCAGGGAGGCGGAAGGAAGGGAAGAAGGAAGAGAGGGAAGAUUAAAAAUGUUAAGUUAGACACAUUGAAUGGGAGGCACUUAUAGCAUGUUCAGGUAAGACAUCUAGCAGGUAGUUAGCACUUUGGGCCUGCAAUCCAGGAUUAAAGAUGGAGUUGGAAAUAUAGUCACAAUUACAAUUAUGAUGUUUCAGUCUUGCUCAUUUUAAAAUUUGGAAAGAAAUUUUUUUUUAA